ensembl:lncRNA
UUGUGCAUCAGGAAGUCCACUUUGGAUAUAAAAGCGGCCGUAUGUGUUUUGUGAAACUACCAGUGUAAAGAGGAUGUUGUAGAAGAAUGGGUUUCAGUUUUAUCGGAAUAAUGACAUCUCUGGGAACAAGGCAAUGGUUUAUUGCAGUCUGUGAAGCCGGUUGAGAAGCCGGGCACAGAUGGGAUUAAAGCUCUGCUGGGAGAGCCAGAGAUUCUGCAGAGGCUGCCGGGGUGCAGAGCUCUGCUGCGGAGCUGUGAGGCCUGGGGUCAGGCAGCCCUGCAGCUGCAGGUCUUUGGGGCGGCUGGGAGCCGCGCUGUGCGGACAGGGCAGGGCAGGGGCCCACCCACAGGAGGCCCCACCAUGUCAGAAGUGGCUGCUCUUCGCCUGUGUGAUCAUAUACAGGCGUGGAGGCAGAAACAUCCCGCUGAGCCUUGGCUGCAGAGAGGAGAAGGUGCAUUUUGACUGGAACCCACCGUAAGCUGGUUUGGGUUUCGUUUAGUUUCUGUAGGCAGGCUGGAGGGGUGAAGUCUAAGGAAGCGAUAUUCUGUCUUGCGCAUCUUGAACAUAGUGACUGAAGAAAGCAAAGUUCUUUGGCUGGCACACCUUUGAAAUCAACAGCUUUUUAAAAGUCAGGUUUUGGAGUUCUGUAUCUGUAGUGAUGAAGAGAUGAAAGCAGAGUUGGCUCUCUGGAAAAAUGCAUUUACGGUCUCAAUUUUAAAACAUCGUUUGGAGGUCGGCGAUGGAAGCAGCGGUAACCUUUAACGCCGCGGGGAAUGGGAACGCGGCAGCGCGAGUUGCCGCCGGAGGACAUCGGGACCCACCCUUCCAGCGGCAGGUAACCGCUCCGCGCGGCGCUUUUAUCACUGCAGCUUCGGGGGAGCGAUUCUCACCGGGGCCGCGGCGCGGGGGUGCGAGUGCUGCCGGCCGGGCGGGGGGCGCCACGGGAGCGCAGCCACACGCGGCCCCGCGGAGCUGUCACACGCGUGCUCUGGGGGGCUAAGCCUUCCCCCCGCCCGGUCGACAGCGGUGAGUACUUCGGGAGGAGGGGGGCAGGAUCCCGCGCUUGGUGAGCGUCUAUCGGGGGAGGCUGCGGGCUCCUAUCUGCGCCGGGUGCCGGGGUGCGCCUGGCCGCGGCAGGCACGGCCGCGUCC